rnacentral:rRNA from 1 species
AUUGAACGCUGGCGGCAUGCCUUACACAUGCAAGUCGAACGGCAGCACGGGAGCAAUCCUGGUGGCGAGUGGCGAACGGGUGAGUAAAGUAUCGGAACGUGCCCAGUCGUGGGGGAUAACGUAGCGAAAGUUACGCUAAUACCGCAUACGAUCUAUGGAUGAAAGCGGGGGAUCGCAAGACAUCGCGCGAUUGGAGCGGCCGAUAUCAGAUUAGGUAGUUGGUGGGGUAAAGGCUCACCAAGCCGACGAUCUGUAGCUGGUCUGAGAGGACGACCAGCCACACUGGGACUGAGACACGGCCCAGACUCCUACGGGAGGCAGCAGUGGGGAAUUUUGGACAAUGGGCGAAAGCCUGAUCCAGCCAUGCCGCGUGCAGGAUGAAGGCCUUCGGGUUGUAAACUGCUUUUGUACGGGACGAAAAGGUUUGGCCUAAUAAGCUGAGCUCAUGACGGUACCGUAAGAAUAAGCACCGGCUAACUACGUGCCAGCAGCCGCCGUAA